UAGGGAAUCUUCGGCAAUGGACGAAAGUCUGACCGAGCAACGCCGCGUGAGUGAAGAAGGUUUUCGGAUCGUAUAACUCUGUUGUUAGAGAAGAACAAGGACGUUAGUAACUGAACGUCCCCUGACGGUAUCUAACCAGAAAGCCACGGCUAACUACGUGCCAGCAGCCGCGGUAAUACGUAGGUGGCAAGCGUUGUCCGGAUUUAUUGGGCGUAAAGCGAGCGCAGGCGGUUUCUUAAGUCUGAUGUGAAAGCCCCCGGCUCAACCGGGGAGGGUCAUUGGAAACUGGGAGACUUGAGUGCAGAAGAGGGGAGUGGAAUUCCAUGUGUAGCGGUGAGAUGCGUAGAUAUAUGGAGGAACACCAGUGGCGAAGGCGGCGCUCUGGUCUGUAACUGACGCUGAGGCUCGAAAGCGUGGGGAGCAAACAGG
rnacentral:rRNA from 1 species